AUAUAAUUACCGAAUCAAACCAUUGAGACCGCAAGGAAGGGGCAAAGAGUAAACGAGUAUUCGUAUUUUAGCAGCAGCUCUUCAGCAUUCAGUAGGAAAAACGAAAAUGGAGAUGACAAUCUUCAUAAUUUUGUUCGCCGCCCCAUUUACUGCUCUCGCAGCUUCGACGGCGGCUCUUGUACCUCCGGUCGAAUCUCAGAUUCCGUCUUCAUCUGGUCAGCAGAAUCAGAAUUCGGUGAUCUACGAAUUGCAAGAAGCGAAGAUCAAAAUCGCUCGAUUAGAAUCCAUCCUUGAUGAAAGCAUGCCAAAUUUAAAUGCUAAAAUCCAAUACAUCAGAGAAACCGAGAAGAAAAUCGAGGACAUUAGUGUAGAAAUUGACAAUCUUACAACUGCUUUGUCCAAAUUGCAGCAUCACUCAUCAAGGAUUAGUGCUCUAGAAGAAGAGGUACAACUGCUUUGGGAUGUGGCAAGAAAAAACAACUUUGAAAUUCAUAAGUUGGAGUUCAAAGCGCAAGAUGCGGAGAAAAGAUUAGAAGUUCUUACCUCUCAAGUCGAAAAGAUGGCUGAAGUUAUAUCUGAAAAAUGGAUUCAGAUACAACGACUUGAACAAGCUGUUCAAAUGGCAGAGAUGAGAACGCAAAAGGUCAAAAGGCAAGUAACAUUCAGUAAAUGUCCAUUUGUCAAGUUCAUCAAAAACGUAUUUGGCCACCACCUUGAAACGUUGAAAGGAAUUCUGCAUCCAUAUGGAUCAUACAGUGCGGCUGAUCCUAAUUCCUACUGGUCUCAAAUGUUGCAUCACAUGCAGGGGGCUUUUUCAUCUGCAAAACAAUACCAUUACAAGGAUAAGCAUUUGUGUGUGACAUUUAAGUUGGUAACUGGAGUAUGUUUGAAGUGGGUCCCGCUACAAUCUUUAAAUUCUUCUGUACCUUUGGGGUAAGAUGGAUAUACAUACUUGUAUAGAUGACCUAGACUUUCCGGAGCUUAGUGUACAUGGAGGUACCAGUUUUGCAUGGUUAUCACAUUCGCUGAUGUAAUACUGAUUUGUACAAAAUGUGUGUGUGUGUGUGCUCCUCCCACCCAGCGCGCGCACACACACAUUGAUAUGAUAUUCAAGUUAGCAACUGGUAAAUGGGAACUUCACGCUGAUUAUUAAGUUGUUGGUGGUUGUACAUCCUCAGAACAUUGAUCUGACAACUUCUGUACUAUGCAGCUGCAGAGAUUUGUAAAGCAGGAAAUAGAAAGGAACGAAUUCCCUACGGCUUUAGCUAAUAAAGAAGUAGUGUUUUUAGUAGCCUCAGCUCUGAUCGUGUUUCCAAUUUUAAGUGCAUUCAUGUUUCUCUUCUCACACUUAAGCUAGGC